rnacentral:lncRNA from 1 species
UAAUGAAAUACACCGGCUGCUCACCGCUACACUCAUUAACCCUUCCUCUGGGAGGAAGGCGUGUUCGGGUACUUGGUGCCCAUUUUUUUCCUCCUGAUGCUGGUGCUUGCUACGGUUUUGUUUAGGCCCCUGACAGGUUCCUUGUGUUGCAGUUUUAUUGCAAGAGGUGUGGGAGAAUGAGGAGGGGUUGGUGUAAGGCAGACAAGAAUGGAGAUGUGACCGACUCCAAAGCGAUCCAUAUUUGGUGGAGGAGCUUCUCAGCAUGAAGCAUGCAUGGCACAUCGGAAACACCACACCUGCAACAUGCACGCGGCGGGAUGGUGAGUGAUGGCUGGAGAGUGGCCGAGGAGACUACGAUGGGUUUGGCACGGGAGGUUGGCCUCACGGGGCUGGCUCGCAGUUUGCAGAGUGAGUGAAAUCUUCCUCCCGUAGGGCCUGCCCUCCUUCCCAAAGAAGAACUCUGCGACGUUUCCCUGAACUCUGCUUGCCCUCACCGUGAUAGUCGCUGAAGUUCCUGAACCGGCAAAACUGUCCUUGAUGCACAGCUAAGGUCACCACGGCAAAUGGAACGGGCGAAGAGACUUGUGAACUGCACCUCGAGGGACUUACAGAUUGCUCGACGUCCUUUCCUUUGGUUAUCAGGUUCUUUGAGGCCGUUGACAAUGAUAAGCCAUCUUACCAACCUCGGCGAAGCAUCUCUUCUGCAACGGCACAUUUUGGACGGGUUUAAAGCACACAUCGGCAACAUCUUUAAUCAAGCAAGAGUCCGGAACACUAUUUUGACCACCGAUGGGUCUUCAACCAAGGAUGAGACUGCAGCAGAGCACAUCCGACCAACCAACAUUCCAUUGAUUGGUAUUACUCACGGGAUGUCUACAUUUGGUGCAGAUACUCAGCUUGAUGAGGGCAAUGACAUCUGCUGCGUUUUGGAGCUCCCUAUAGCUUUUAUUUACAUGGAGAUCACUUGCGAGAUCUGCACUCGGCCAUCGUCCAUCGUGAAAAGGACAUGCUCGAACAUACGUGAUAUAAUGUUUGG